rnacentral:rRNA from 1 species
AAGACCUUGCGCUUUUGGAGCGGCCGAUGUCUGAUUAGCUUGUUGGUAAGGUAAAAGCUUACCAAGGCUUCGAUCAGUAGCUGGUCUGAGAGGACGACCAGCCACACUGGGACUGAGACACGGCCCAGACUCCUACGGGAGGCAGCAGUGGGGAAUUUUGGACAAUGGGGGCAACCCUGAUCCAGCCAUGCCGCGUGAGUGAAGAAGGCCUUCGGGUUGUAGAGCUCCUUCAGCCGGAACGAAACGGUUACGGUUAAUACCCGUGACUACUGACGGUACCGGAAGAAGAAGCACCGGCUAACUACGUGCCAGCAGCCGCGGUAAUACGUAGGGUGCAAGCGUUAAUCGGAAUUACUGGGCGUAAAGCGUGCGCAGGUGGUUUUGUAAGUCAGAUGUGAAAUCCCCGGGCUUAACCUGGGAACU